rnacentral:rRNA from 1 species
UUGACCUCGGAUCAGGUAGGGAUACCCGCUGAACUUAAGCAUAUCAAUAAGCGGAGGAAAAGAAACCAACAGGGAUUGCCCCAGUAACGGCGAGUGAAGCGGCAAGAGCUCAAAUUUGAAAGCUGGCUCCUUCGGGGUCCGCAUUGUAAUUUGUAGAGGAUGCUUCGGGAGCGGUCCCCAUCUAAGUGCCCUGGAACGGGACGUCAUAGAGGGUGAGAAUCCCGUAUGGGAUGGGGUGUCCGCGCCCGUGUGAAGCUCCUUCGACGAGUCGAGUUGUUUGGGAAUGCAGCUCUAAAUGGGUGGUAAAUUUCAUCUAAAGCUAAAUAUUGGCCGGAGACCGAUAGCGCACAAGUAGAGUGAUCGAAAGAUGAAAAGCACUUUGAAAAGAGAGUUAAAAAGCACGUGAAAUUGUUGAAAGGGAAGCGCUUGCGACCAGACUCGCUCGCGGGGUUCAGCCGGCAUUCGUGCCGGUGUACUUCCCCGCGGGCGGGCCAGCGUCGGUUUGGGCGGUCGGUCAAAGGCCCUCGGAAGGUAACGCCCCUAGGGGCGUCUUAUAGCCGAGGGUGCAAUGCGACCUGCCUAGACCGAGGAACGCGCUUCGGCUCGGACGCUGGCAUAAUGGUC